UACGAAGGGGGCUAGCGUUGUUCGGAAUUACUGGGCGUAAAGCGCACGUAGGCGGCUUUCUAAGUCAGGGGUGAAAUCCUGGAGCUCAACUCCAGAACUGCCUUUGAUACUGGAGAGCUAGAGUCCGGAAGAGGUGAGUGGAACUGCGAGUGUAGAGGUGAAAUUCGUAGAUAUUCGCAAGAACACCAGUGGCGAAGGCGGCUCACUGGUCCGGUACUGACGCUGAGGUGCGAAAGCGUGGGGAGCAAACAGG
rnacentral:rRNA from 1 species